rnacentral:lncRNA from 1 species
CCUGAGAUUUUGAUGGUCUCUAGGAAUGUGAAAAUCAGAUACUUGUGACUACUAUAAAGUCUAUGUUAGUGAAAUUCCAUCAUUUGAAUUUCACUAACAUAGACUUUAUGAAGGGUCUACAAGGCAAAUGUGACUCCAAAGGAAAUAUGUAAAGGCGUAAAACAUGACUUAAAUCGGAAGAUUUUGUGCAAACAAAAUGAGAGGACAAUUGCAUUCAUGCAAAGUUAUAGAAUGGGAAAUUCGUUUCCCAACUCCUGUGCAUGUGGGAUGACAUCCUACUUGCUAGUGGUGAUGUCAAUUCUAGUGCAGGAGGAGAGAAGAAGUUCUUGUCCUCAGAGUUCAAAAGAAUAAAAGGGGGUAUUAGGAAUGUCGCAUGAAAAUGCUAAGAAAGAUUUCUAAAGUAUGCAUACGAGAAAACUUACACCUGUUCUUAUAGUCAAGGGUAAUGGAAGUGGAAACUAUGGUGUUCCAAAAGUUAAUAAGGAAAGAUUGUAAACGGAUAUGGUACCAUAUGCUUCGGUUGUUGGAAGCACAAGAUGUUACCCUGACACUGUUCACACGUAUAUAUCCGGGUUGUUUUGGCAAUGUCGAGUCCAUAGAUAAAUCAAUGGAAUGGAGUCAAAGAUAUCGGCCUCAUGCUAAAAGAAAUAAGUGCUCUCAAAAGAUUGUGAGUACAAAGGCAGGACUUGUGAAAUGUAUAGCGAAAUCCACAAUUGUCGCUAACUUUCAUACUCGGAGUUUUGUGUGGAAAAUCUCCAAAUGAGUAAAACGAUUGUCAUCAAUGUGAUGCAAUGAUAUGUUAUAGCUUGAUAUGAGGCUAAGGGACGGGCAACAUGGUUAAGGCUACCUGUACCCGGAGUGGAU